ensembl:lncRNA
AUGUAAGAAUGACAGUUGAACAGUGAGAGAUAAAGGCCAGCAGUAUUAGAAGGAGUCAUUCACUCUAAGGUUUCCUGAGAGCAGGGUACUACUGGUUGUUGUUGGUGACAACUGGCUGCUGUAAAAUCUGAUCGAAGGAGAGUGUGCGGCUGCUACUCAUUCCAGCCAUUAGUUCCCAGCCCUGCCUGCCUGUUUGCUGUUUGCAUCUCACUGCUUUGUUCUGACUGCCUGUUUUUCCUGCUGCUGCUCCUGACCUCUCUCCGACCUCACCUGGUACCGGCCCUGCCCAUCCCGGUGGCCCACUCUGGCUCUGGCUCCUGCUCCUGGUCUCUCACUUGGUGCUUGCUCUCCCGGCCCUGCCUGCCUGUGUUCCUGCCUGCAGCCAUCAGCUAGCCACUGCCUGCCUGUUUUUGGGCCCCAGACCCACGAGCGCGACCCCAGCCGGCUCAUCACCCAAAUCCUUGGAGCAGAUCACUCAGGACUCAUUUCUACCAGCUGUGACAGAACACCAUGGGAUACCUAAGUAUGGAGCUCUGGAUACCAAAGAAUAA